CCUUCCCCCUCAGGAGCAGGGCCUGCUGACUUUGUGGCUUGCUUACUUGGCUCGUUUGGGACUUAUUUUUAAGCAAAGAGGAUGCUUUUGAUUUGGAACUCAGAAACAGGUGUGCAAGGGAAAGAUUUGUGCCUGAUAGAUGUCAUUGAGAGCAGCGUGGGGAGAGAGAACAGUGUGUGCCUGAGCUGCUGGUGUCAGAUUGUUUGAUAUGUUCUUCAGGAGGCCGAGGGUGAGGAGGAGUUUGCACACACUGCUAUCUGUCUGCCUCUGGUUUUCCUUCUGUAAGAGAGAAGUGACACGAGAUGGAAAGGUAUCCAGAAAAUCACAAAGCAGAGUUACAGCCUGAAACUGAAGCCCCAAACCACUUCUGAGUGGCAGGUUUAAAAGCAGCUGAGAAACAAAAGGUCUGUCAGCUCGUUUAACUGCUCAGAAAACACCGAACAAGAAAUAAAGCCCAAUUAAGAAUGAAGAGAAGGAAGAGGCUCGGUGUAAUAGAUUGUUUUGAGAUGACCACUUCAAACAACGGUUCUGCUUUCUGAUGCAUUAAGACUUGGAAAUUUGCCAUCCAUCACAGCUGUGUGUUUGAGCCUGUGUGAUUAUUUUGGGAAGUGAACCAUGGUGAUUUGUGUGUAUGUGCUUUAUUGGCGGGCAGGAUGUUCCCUAUCUACCUCUCCCUGGCUGUCUGCAUUUGCAUUGGUUAAUAAAAUGUCUGAUGUUCAAUGACUUUCUGAUGGGUGAACAAGAUUUGGCAUACAGGAUGUAGUAGUUUUUCACGAAGGCUAAAAUUUCAUCCUGGGAGACUGAACCCUCUGUGGCAGCCAUACACAAUCCAUAAUAACAGAAGCUUUUAACCCAUCCAUAAUUGCUUUCAUAUAGAAAAUGAUUGCUGUAAGUUAACUUCAUAAUUCUAAAUCAGUGGCUCUCAGUAGGAGUUCAGAUGCUUUAAUUUGCCCUGAAUUAUCUUUAACUCACAGGCAGUUCAUCUAUGCUCUUUUCUGAUUAUGUUCCUUGUCACUCUGACCCAAACUUUGUCUGCUUAAUUUUUGUUUCCUCUUUCUGAAAUUAGACCAAUUUCCAGUGAUAUUUCACCAGUGGGGAUGACAGUGAGUGGGUGAGGUACUCUCACUGCACACCAGCCCAUGCUCUGAACCUGUCCUGUGUUACUGACAUGGCCAACUGGAGUUCUUCCCCUGGGAUGAAGGUGUGGGUACUCCCAAUAGAAAGGGAGAGCACCCCAAGCAAGGCCAUCACACUGGUGGUUUCUGGGCUGGUUCAUGCCAUACUUCCCUUUCUUUGGCUAUGGAGAGAAGGGAAGGACAUUGUGGCUGUCUCUGUGUGUACCCAGCACCUGGAGGCUUCCUGGGCACAGCGUUUGAUGAACUGGGAUGGCACAUACAGCACAGAUGUGGUGGCAAUCUGGGGGUGCCUCCCUGAUGAGGACAAAGCUCCUGGCUGGGUUGUUUGGCAGUCCCAAAACCAGCAGGGUGGCCACUCCUCCCCUUAUGGCAGCAGGCAGCUUGUGUGAUUUUGAGUGACAGCAGAUGAAGGGCUUGCAUUACGCCUUGUCUCUGGAACUGCACAUCUGUGUCAGCUCCUUGCUAAAUCAAUAAACAGGAUGCUGAAGGAAAAAUACUUUCAGGCUUCUCAUGUCUUUAUGCAUCAAACCGAUUGGGCAAUGAGAACUUGGGUGGUAGCAGGGGUUCUGGUGGCUCUGGGCUGAUGAACUUCCUGUCAAAUCAAAGGUGAGGGCUGGGUCCUGGAAAGUGCUGGCAGGUUGUUCCCCUGGUUAUGUGGAUUCCCUUCCAGUGGUAGUUACUUAGCAAUUUGGAUAGAAAUUUUCAACCUAGGAGCCUAUGGUAGAGCAUCAAGAAGUGGAGAAAAAUCACUUUGCAUGUUCCAACAGACGAACAAAUUACCUAUGGAAAUGCACUUGGGAAUAUUCCUCAGUAAUUGGAUUUCAGCUGUUGUUUCAGUGUAUGUGCCCCCGGGCUGUGGAGGUAAAAGGACUCCACUGAAAUGCUUUGAAAUGUUCUCUGGCACCUACAGAACGUGUUUACUAUUAAAAAGUGAAACCUGCAAGUCAGAACGCUACUAAGUGCAGUUUAAAAACAAAAUUGCACCCCUGCAGCAUAGCUCAGGGUGCUGAAGCAUCUGGUUUAUCCAGACAGUCUCUACCCAGAAACAUUCCUGUGACUUGAGUGGAGAAGUCGUGUCUGUGUCUUCUGCCAGGCUAACCUGGGCACAGCUGUGGUGUGCAGCAGGGAGCAGAGCAGGAACCCUUGAACCAUGGCUGCUUUGAGCUGGGGAGUCCACAGGGCCUGGA